GGCGGGGAAGGGGGCUUCUGCAGUAAUCUAGCCCUGUCCUAGGCGCCAGGGGAGCUUACUGUGGAAAGGAAGGAACAUUCCCCGCCUCAUAGAGGCUGACAACCUCGGUCCUUAGAUACACAAAAACACUCCAGUGUGCUAAUAUUAUCCAGAGCAUCAAAAAGGCAUUCGGGGAUCAAAUUUUGCAUGGUGCCUGCUGAGUGUAAGUAAAGCACCAAGCCAUUUCCUCUGCCCUCUAGAAGCUUAUAAUGUACGGUCCUAUCACAAAGCAAAGUAAGAGCAUGAAACCAAUAAAUGGGGAUACCAUAAAGUAUUUUUAUCUCUACAGGUUCAUUCAUGCCGCAGACAUUUAUUGGGUCACUGCAGUACUGCAAAAGGUUGCAAAGGAAAUGGAAGAUCUGGUCCCUGCAGGUCAGAAGUUUACAAUCUAAUUAGGAACGUAAGACACAUAUACAUGAAACAGCUAGAAAAUCAUCCCCAGGUGUGAUGUAAGCAAGAGGACCGAGAAGGCUGGUGGCAUUUUUUCAUGAGGGGAAAGCCUCUGUACCUGUGUGCUUGCUUGGUGAGAAUCAGGAGAGGAAAUUCCAGGUCGUUCAAGCCAGAGGGCCUAUGUAUGCAAAUAGGAUGCCUUCUCUCCACAGUUGUGAUGUUUAAAAAUGUCUCCAGACAUGGUUGAAUGUCCCGGGGAGGGGGGGGGGACGUGCAAAAUUGUCCACUAUUGAGAACCCGUGCCUUAUCCCAACAUCUCAUCCACUGAUUUAACUAUGGUGGAGAAAUCACACAAGUAAAGUAACUUGAAAGAAAUACAUCUUCUGUUAUUUCAAGAUUCUUAGAUCUUUUCCAUCAUAUGUUUCCAGGAGCAUGACUCUUGUUAAUUAAUUGCCUGCUGCAUUGUGAAUUGGCAUCUCUUCUGUUUUCUGCCUAUCCUCCUCCUUUACACCCAGAUCAACAUGUUCAUUUCUAAAAGUCAACAGCUUUCAACAACUAUUAGGAAAUAGAGUCUUGAGCAACCUAAGAGUCCUGUAUAAUAUUCUUCUAUAAAAUAUGGAGAAUCCAUUCCAUAAAAUUUUGCAGAAAGCUUCCCUCUCAUAAUUAAACCCUUACUUUCCACCACCUCUCUGCACUCAGAUUGUAAGUAAUACAGAAUAUAAAUUGUACUUUUUAGAAAUUACUGCAUUUAAAAUAUUUAAGGAGCUACUUUGAGUGAUUUUUCUUUGAUCUUGAAGCCAUUUCUUUUUGGUUCAAGAAAGAGUUUCCCUUUACUAGUGGCAUAGAGAACAUGGCUUAUUAAAACCUAUAAAGCAAAAAUCAGCUUAGUUAUACAUACCAAAUUCCAAAAGCAAGUUCUUUAGAAGAAUAGCAGGAUGUAUUAGAGCUGGUGGUCUUGAUGAAAAUCCUGAUGGACUGAUGUGCUUUGGUUCAAUUACUAAAGAUUUCUUGAAGAAAAAUAAAGAUUAAUUGUUGAAGGAAUGAACUAAUUCUGAUAAGUUUGUUCACUCAGUCUGGGCAUGUAAACCAACCCAAAACUCUGCUCCCAGCAGGCAAUAGCUCUAUGUUUACUAGGUGAGCAGACAUUUUUGUUCAGCAACACUGUCAUCUGUCUCUUUAAAUAAAAUUAUUUGAAACAUUG